GAACGAGGAUAUAUCCUUCGGGAUAUAAGCCGAGUGGCGGAAGGGUGAGUAAUGCACAGACAACCUGCCUUUAGGAUAAGAAUAACUCUGUGAAAGCGGAGCUAAUACUUAAUAAUACAAAGAAAAGGUUCUUUUCUUUGUCAAAAAAGGGUAUUUAUACCUUUUGCCUAGAGAGGGGUUUAUGUCCUAUCAGCUUGUUGGUGGGGUAACGGCCUACCAAGGCGAAGACGGGUAACCGGCCUUAGAGGGUAGUCGGUCACACUGGAACUGAGACACUGUCCAGACUUCUACGGAAGGCUGCAGUCGAGAAUCUUUCGCAAUGCCCGAAAGGGUGACGAAGCGACGCCGCGUGGAUGAAGAAGGCCUUCGGGUUGUAAAAUCCUGUCAGGAGUUAAGAAAUAUAAGUUUGAUAAUACCAAAUUUAUUUGACAAAGGCUCCAGAGGAAGCCACGGCUAACUCUGUGCCAGCAGCCGCGGUAAUACAGAGGUGGCAAGCGUUGUUCGGAAUUAUUGGGCGUAAAGAGCACGUAGGUGGAUUUGUUAGUCAGAUGUGAAAGCCUUUCGUUCAACGGAAGAAUUGCAUCUGAAACUACAAACCUUGAGUAUAGGAGGGGAGAGUGGAACUUCUGGUGGAGCGGUGAAAUGCGUAGAUAUCAGAAGGAACGCCGGCGGCGAAAGCGACUCUCUGGCCUAUAACUGACACUGAGUGUGCGAAAGCUAGGGGAGCAAACGGGAUUAGAUACCCCGGUAGUCCUAGCCGUAAACGAU
rnacentral:rRNA from 1 species